GUUUGACCUGUUUAAUGAACUUCAUUGUCAUUUAAUUGAAUCACUGGUGAUUGUCUUUAACAUGUUUGUAACAUGUGGGAUAUCAGUGAGUGAUUAUUGCUAUGGGUUGUCUGUUACUAUAACUUCAGGAGAUGCCACAUUAUUAUUAUAGUCCACACCUGGACCGUCUUGGUUAAUGGUGGUGGAAAUAGGUAGAAGUUGCCCCUAACCACUGAUACAGGGUCAGAUAUUAGUUCAUCCCCUUAUUGUUUAAGGUUAGAAUAAAGGGUUGAGUAAUCUGAUCCUAGAUCUGUGGUUAGGGGCGACUUCUACCUCAAGGUGUAAAACAUGAGCUUGUGGGUUGACAGGAACCAUAACGUGACCAUGAAGGGCUGUUUUAGCUUCAAAGAUGUUCUCAUAAAUGACGAGACAAACCUCUAAGUCAAUGACUAUGGCAUCAAAGUCAAUCAGAAUACAUUUCUGACUUCCCGGAGACCAAUCAGGAGAGAGCUGGGCUGCCAUUGGAUCAGAUGAACACGAGACUAAGUACUUGAUCACAGCUGUGAGAAACCUUGACAAAAAGCUCACACUUCCACACACCUGAGGCCCAACACACACGCACGUGCACUCGCGUCAAGGCUGCUUAUGGAAAACCACUGCUGUCAUCCGUCAAGGCCAUUUGUGGAGCCCUGGGAUUUAACCAGCGACACCAGAGACAAAGAUAAAGGAAGAUUAUAGAAGCAGCACAACAAAAGAACCAGCAGACAAACUGAG
rnacentral:lncRNA from 1 species